GUGGCAUUGACCCAGAGGAGGGCUCAUCUCCCAGGGCAGUGAAUACAGCCCAGAGGAGGAGGAAGAUAAGCCCAGGUCCCUGCAAAGAAGGCCAAGUCCCUCUCCCAGGAAGGAGGACACCCCCCCCACACACACACACAUACCCAAGUGAACUGUCUGUCAAGCUGGGGAAACUUGGCCAGCCUAAGACCUCAGCCAAGGCGAGAAAAGACCAUUAGGAGUCUCCUAGCAGAGACGGGUGGGUUUCUGAAAGCAGUGCUGGCUGAGCCCCGGGGCGCGCCUGGGGAGCAAAAAGGUCUUGCAGAGAGGGCAUGGCCUGAGUGAAAAAUCACAGGUUCCGGAAAUGCAGAGGCAUAAUGCAGUGAGAGAGAGAGAUGGAGGAGUGUCCAUCCAGGAGCCGAAGCCACCCAAGACGGAGCAGAGGGCACGGAGGUUCCUCCCCAAGCCCUGGAGUUCUCCACCCUUCCACUUUGGGCUCUCCAGGCCUCUCCACACAGCAGCAGCAGCAGCAGCAGAUGGAGCCGCUAACACAGAAUUCCCCAGUUUGUGAAAAGAUGUUGGAUGUGUACAGCGCUCUCCAGCUUCGGCAGCCCAAGUCCGGACUUCUGAACAGAGAUGUCCUCAAGAGAAGGGAGGACCCGCAAGAAUACAGCCUUCCUGGAGAAUGAAACACAAAACAAAAGACCCCGGUGUCGAGCAGAGUGUGGAGAGUCUGGGUCUAGGAUGCAGAACCCUGGGGCUCUAGGCGGGCUUCUGUGCUUCCGUCAGCCUCAGUGUUAUCAUCUGUAAAAGGGGUGUCCACCCUAGAGCUCCAGCAGAGGCACCUCUGCGCGGGAGAGUUUCCAGAAGGCCUGGGUGGGAGUUACCAGCCUCAGGGACAGGAUUCUGAGGCCCUGCUGCCUGAGGGCCCCUCCCCAGGGAAGGCCCCGUUGGCUGUUAACCUGUUGAAGGCCAAAGAGUCUGUCUCCCCAAAACAUGUUUUAAACCGAGAGGUUGGCUCCAUCCUAGGCCU